rnacentral:rRNA from 1 species
AGACCCGAAACCCGGUGAUCUAGCCAUGGGCAGGUUGAAGGUUGGGUAACACUAACUGGAGGACCGAACCGACUAAUGUUGAAAAAUUAGCGGAUGACCUGUGGCUGGGGGUGAAAGGCCAAUCAAACCGGGAGAUAGCUGGUUCUCCCCGAAAGCUAUUUAGGUAGCGCCUCGUGAAUUCAUCUCCGGGGGUAGAGCACUGUUUCGGCUAGGGGGUCAUCCCGACUUACCAACCCGAUGCAAACUGCGAAUACCGGAGAAUGUUAUCACGGGAGACACACGGCGGGUGCUAACGUCCGUCGUGAAGAGGGAAACAACCCAGACCGCCAGCUAAGGUCCCAAAGUCAUGGUUAAGUGGGAAACGAUGUGGGAAGGCCCAGACAGCCAGGAUGUUGGCUUAGAAGCAGCCAUCAUUUAAAGAAAGCGUAAUAGCUCACUGGUCGAGUCGGCCUGCGCGGAAGAUGUAACGGGGCUAAACCAUGCACCGAAGCUGCGGCAGCGACGCUUAUGCGUUGUUGGGUAGGGGAGCGUUCUGUAAGCCUGUGAAGGUGGCCUGUGAGGGUUGCUGGAGGUAUCAGAAGUGCGAAUGCUGACAUAAGUAACGAUAAAGCGGGUGAAAAGCCCGCUCGCC